rnacentral:rRNA from 1 species
UACAGAGGGGGCAAGCGUUGUUCGGAAUUACUGGGCGUAAAGGGCGCGUAGGCGGCCUUCUAAGUCGAACGUGAAAUCCCCGGGCUCAAUCCGGGAACUGCGUCCGAUACUGGAGGGCUUGAAUCCGGGAGAGGGAUGUGGAAUUCCAGGUGUAGCGGUGAAAUGCGUAGAUAUCUGGAGGAACACCGGUGGCGAAGGCGACAUCCUGGACCGGUAUUGACGCUGAGGCGCGAAAGCCAGGGGAGCAAAGCGGG